CCUACGGGAGGCAGCAGUAGGGAAUCUUCCACAAUGGGCGCAAGCCUGAUGGAGCAACACCGCGUGAGUGAAGAAGGGUUUCGGCUCGUAAAGCCCUGUUGUUGGAGAAGAACGUGCGUGAGAGUAACUGUUCACGCAGUGACGGUAUCCAACCAGAAAGUCCCGGCUAACUACGUGUCAGCAGCCGCGGUAAUACGUAGGUGGCAAGCAUUAUCCGGAUUUAUUGGGCGUAAAGCGAGCGCAGGCGGUUGCGUAGGUCUGAUGUGAAAGCCUACGGCUUAACCGAAGAAGUGCAUCGGAAACCGGGCGACUUGAGUGCAGGAGAGGACAGUGGAACUCCAGGUGUAGCGGUAGAAUGCGUAGAUAUUAGGAGGAACACCAGUGGCGAAGGCGGCUUACUAGACUGUAACUGACGUUGAGGCGCGAAAGCGUGGGGAGCAAACAGGAUUAGAUACCCGUGUAGUC
rnacentral:rRNA from 1 species